GAUGAACGCUGGCGGCGUGCCUAAUACAUGCAAGUCGAGCGAAUGGAUUAAGAGCUUGCUCUUAUGAAGUUAGCGGCGGACGGGUGAGUAACACGUGGGUAACCUGCCCAUAAGACUGGGAUAACUCCGGGAAACCGGGGCUAAUACCGGAUAACAUUUUGAACCGCAUGGUUCGAAAUUGAAAGGCGGCGUCGGCUGUCACUUAUGGAUGGACCCGCGUCGCAUUAACUAGUUGGUGAGGUAACGGCUCACCAAGGCAACGAUGCGUAGCCGACCUGAGAGGGUGAUCGGCCACACUGGGACUGAGACACGGCCCAGACUCCUACGGGAGGCAGCAGUAGGGAAUCUUCCGCAAUGGACGAAAGUCUGACGGAGCAACGCCGCGUGAGUGAUGAAGGCUUUCGGGUCGUAAAACUCUGUUGUUAGGGAAGAACAAGUGCUAGUUGAAUAAGCUGGCACCUUGACGGUACCUAACCAGAAAGCCACGGCUAACUACGUGCCAGCCGCCGCCGUAA
rnacentral:rRNA from 1 species